rnacentral:lncRNA from 1 species
AUUUAAACAGAGGAGUGUGUACGGAAAGGAGUCAUGCCCACGGACCCAAAGGAAAUUAAUAUUUAAAGAGUUAGAAAUGGGGUUCCUCCUAGAAUUAACGGUGAUAAGAUACGAAGUGAAAUACCUUCUCUCACUCUCAGUGACUGCUGUGGAAAGUAAACUUGGAAUUGAUAGUACAAAAAUAAAACACAAUAAGUACAUUGCUCAUACACUUGUAUCCGGGAUUGGCUGUUUUUAAAGUUGAGUGACUAUUCAGAUUAUUACAUUUUGCAUGUGCAGUUGAAUUAGUUUUGAAAAUAAUACUAUCAAGCUGUACCAGGGUUGCCAAAAAUGCGUGAGACUCACGCAUGUUCAUGCUUUUUUGCGGCAGUAUCCUUGGAUCUCUUUUUUUCCCUCUUUGAUCUUUUCAAUUUUGGCCAAAUCUCACGCAUUUGCUUAAUGAAAAGUUGGCAGAACUGUUAUACAUGUG